AAGGUGCCAUUGGGGGCGAGGAACGCGGUGGCCAGGCGGACGGCGUCGAUGACGAGCGCGGACUGCGCGGUGGCCUCCUGCGCCCACGCGCCGCCGACGUUGGGCGAGCCGUCAUGGAGGACGACGUCGAAGGCGGCGACCCCCUUGGAAUCCAUGAACCUCCGCACGGCGGAGCGGCACUUGGUGGUGGUGAUAUCCUCCGUGAGCGAGUGCGCGCCGCGGACGGGGCGGAUGGGCACGAGGUCGACGCCGACGACGAAUGCGCCGACGCGGGCGCGGGCGACGGCCACCUGGACCCACCCACCCGGCGCCGCGCAGAGGUCAAGCACGGCGCGCGCCGCCGGGAGGAACCGGAAGCGGUCGUCGAGCUGCUGCAGCUUGAAGGCCUUCCAAAUUCGGACUGAGCUGUUAUAUAGUACGUCCUGCGGCGUGCCAAGGUUACGAGCCUUCCAAAUCCUCAGUUAUGGCUGCUACAGCGUUUUCGAUUCCGGCGCCGUGGUCAGAACUCCCGCUGGACGUACUAGACCUCGUCAUCGACCGCCUCAUAUCCUCCCCUCCACGGAGAGGCUUCUUCUCCUCUGCGUGGUGGCAAGUCCGACGGGUCCUUGGUUUCUCCGUUGA
rnacentral:rRNA from 1 species